AUUGAACGCUGGCGGCAGGCCUAACACAUGCAAGUCGGACGGUAGCACAGAGAGCUUGCUCUCGGGUGACGAGUGGCGGACGGGUGAGUAAUGUCUGGGGAUCUGCCCGAUAGAGGGGGAUAACCACUGGAAACGGUGGCUAAUACCGCAUAACGUCGCAAGACCAAAGAGGGGGACCUUCGGGCCUCUCACUAUCGGAUGAACCCAGAUGGGAUUAGCUAGUAGGCGGGGUAAUGGCCCACCUAGGCGACGAUCCCUAGCUGGUCUGAGAGGAUGACCAGCCACACUGGAACUGAGACACGGUCCAGACUCCUACGGGAGUCAGCAGUGGGGAAUAUUGCACAAUGGGCGCAAGCCUGAUGCAGCCAUGCCGCGUGUAUGAAGAAGGCCUUCGGGUUGUAAAGUACUUUCAGCGGGGAGGAAGGCGGUGAGGUUAAUAACCUUGCCGAUUGACGUUACCCGCAGAAGAAGCACCGGCUAACUCCGUGCCAGCCGCCGCCGUAAGAC
rnacentral:rRNA from 1 species